rnacentral:lncRNA from 1 species
CCGGGGACCGCACAGACAGGCCCGCAGACCCUCACAGGUCCCUGCCUGUCUCUGUUUCUCUCCUUGUCGGAGACAAUCACCAGCCCUAGAGGAGAAGAGGACAAAGCUGACUGGAUGGUGGACGAUAGUUGCCCUUGUAUGGAGGUGGCUGUAGAAGGAAGAGAACAGUGCUGGGGAGUUCUGCAAGCUGAUUCGUUACCGGAUCUGCAACGUGCUCAUGUCUCUUCUGAUUUUCUUAUGGCGGCCGUCACCUCCACUAUGGAAAGAAAAAUGAACAAUAAUGUUGUGAUGGGCUGGGCUGCCAUGUUUUACCCUAUUUACAGGUCAUUUUAA